rnacentral:lncRNA from 1 species
GAAGAGCAUUGAGGACUCAUCAGUGACGCUCAUAUCAAAAUAUUUAUAAAGCCAAACAAGUACGAAGUUGAAGAGCAUUGAGGAUCCAAAAUUCCAAAAAGUUGUGCCAAAAACGGCUAAGGUAAUCUAUUCCUGGGAUAAGAAAAUCCUUAGUUUUUCGAAAAUUCAAAGUUUUAUAUUCAGGAAAUUUAUAAAAAUGAC